AGCAGUCGCCGCGGUAAUACGAAGGGGGCUAGCGUUGUUCGGAAUUACUGGGCGUAAAGCGCACGUAGGCGGAUAUUUAAGUCAGGGGUGAAAUCCCGCAGCUCAACUGCGGAACUGCCUUUGAUACUGGGUAUCUUGAGUAUGGAAGAGGUAAGUGGAAUUGCGAGUGUAGAGGUGAAAUUCGUAGAUAUUCGCAGGAACACCAGUGGCGAAGGCGGCUUACUGGUCCAUUACUGACGCUGAGGUGCGAAAGCGUGGGGAGCAAACAGGAUUAGAUACCCCCGUAGUCCCUGUCUCUUAUAC
rnacentral:rRNA from 1 species